rnacentral:rRNA from 1 species
AGUGAACGCUGGCGGUAGGCCUAACACAUGCAAGUCGAACGGCAGCACAGUAAGAGCUUGCUCUUACGGGUGGCGAGUGGCGGACGGGUGAGGAAUACAUCGGAAUCUACUUUUUCGUGGGGGAUAACGUAGGGAAACUUACGCUAAUACCGCAUACGACCUACGGGUGAAAGCAGGGGAUCUUCGGACCUUGCGCGAUUGAAUGAGCCGAUGUCGGAUUAGCUAGUUGGCGGGGUAAAGGCCCACCAAGGCGACGAUCCGUAGCUGGUCUGAGAGGAUGAUCAGCCACACUGGAACUGAGACACGGUCGAGACUCCUACGGGAGGCAGCAGUGGGGAAUAUUGGACAAUGGGCGCAAUCCUGAUCCAGCCAUACCGCGUGGGUGAAGAAGGCCUUCGGGUUGUAAAGCCCUUUUGUUGGGAAAGAAAAGCAGCAGGUUAAUACCCCGCUGUUCUGACGGUACCCAAAGAAUAAGCACCGGCUAACUUCGCG